rnacentral:rRNA from 1 species
CCUACGGGGGGCAGCAGUGAGGAAUAUUGGUCAAUGGGCGCGAGCCUGAACCAGCCAAGUCGCGUGAGGGAAGACGGCCCUACGGGUUGUAAACCUCUUUUGCCGGGGAGCAACGGGCGCCACGUGUGGCGCCACUGAGAGUACCCGGAGAAAACGAAUCGCCUAACUCGGUGCCAGCAGCCGCGGUAAUACGGGGGAUGCGAGCGUUGUCCGGAUUUAUUGGGUUUAAAGGGUGCGUAGGCGGAGCGUUAAGUCAGUGGUCAAAUGGAGGGGCCCAACCCCUUCCCGCCAUUGAAACUGGCGCUCUUGAGUGGAAGAGAAGUAUGCGGAAUGCGUGGUGUAGCGGUGAAAUGCAUAGAUAUCACGCAGAACCCCGAUUGCGAAGGCAGCAUGCCGGCUUCCGACUGACGCUGAAGCACGAAAGCGUGGGGAUCGAACAGGAUUAGAUACCCGUGUAGUC